rnacentral:rRNA from 1 species
UAUUAAUUUUAUUAUUAAUAGUUUAUGAAUAAUUUAUUUUAAUAUAAAUAUAUGAAUUUUUAUUAUUUUAAAAGAAAAAAUUUAUUUUAUGAUAGUGAAUAUGUAUUGUGAAAGAAAUAAAUUUAAAUUUUUAAAAGAAAAAUUAAAUUUUUGUACCUUGUGUAUCAGGGUUUAUUAAAUAUUAUUAAUAAAUUUUAUUUUCUCGAAUUUAAAAGAGCUAAUAAUUUAUAUUUUUUAUUGUUAAAUAAAUAUUAUUAAUAAAUUUUUAGUAAUGAAAUGUUAUUCGUUUUUAAAUAUAUCUAGUUUUUUUAGAAAAAAAUUUAAUUUUUUUUUAAAAUUUUAUAUAAAUAAUUAUUUAUUUGUAUAAAUUUUAAAUUUUAUAAUUUUAGGGAUAAGCUUGAAAUUAGAUUUUUAUAAAAUAUUAAAAGUUAUUUAAAUGUAGGAUUAGAAUUUUUUAUCAUUAAUAAAAUGUUAUAAUUUAUAAAUAUAAGUUUAUGAUUUUUUUUAUUUUAAAUUUUUUAUAAAAAUAUUUAUUUUAAUAAUUUAAAUAAAUUGAUAAUGAUAAAAUUAGUAUAAAGAGUUUUAUUUUUAAAGUUUUAUUUUAGGUUAAAUAAAGGAAUUAGACAAAUAUAUUUUUCACCUGUUUAUUAAAAACAUGUCUUUUUGAUAAUAAUUUAAAGUCUGACCUGCCCACUGAGAAUUUAAAUGGCUGCGGUAAUUUGACCGUACAAAGGUAGCAUAAUCAUUAGUUUUUUAAUUGAAAGCUGGAAUGAAAGGUUGAAUGAGAGAAUAGUUGUCUCUAUUUAAAAAUAUAGAAUUUUAUUUUUAAAUUAAAAAGUUUAAAUAUUAAUAAAAGACAAGAAGACCCUAUAGAGUUUAAUAUAUAUUUUAUAUUAAUAUUUUUUGUAUUUAUAAUUUAAUUUAAAAUAUUUAUUUAAUUGGGGUGAUUGAAAAAUUUAAUUAACUUUUUUUUGUAUAUUACAUUAAUGUAUGAGUUUUUGAUCCAAUAUUUUUGAUUAUAAGAAUAAAUUACCUUAGGGAUAACAGCGUAAUUUUUUUUUAGAGUUCAUAUUAAAAGAAAAGAUUGCGACCUCGAUGUUGGAUUAAAUUUUAUUUUAGGUGUAGAAGCUUGAAAAUUAGGUCUGUUCGACCUUUAAAAAUUUACAUGAUCUGAGUUUAAACCGGUGUGAGCCAGGUUGGUUUCUAUCUUUAUUAAAAAAAAUAUUUUAGUACGAAAGGACCAAAUAUUUAAUUAAUAAAUUUUAAAUUUGAAUAUUAAU